rnacentral:ncRNA from 1 species
AAACUAUUUUUCAAUAAAAUAAUUAAAUUUAUUUUAAUAAUUUUAUUAUAUUUAUAUAUAUAUAUAUAUAUAAAUGAAAAUAAAAAUUUAAUAUAUAAUAUUAAAAAUUAAAAAUUUUAAUUUUAAUAAAUAAUGUAUUAUUAAUAAAAAUUGUGCCAGCAAUUGCGGUUAUACAAUUAAUAAAAAUAAAAAAUUUUAUAAAAUAAAAUUUUAUUAAUUUAAUUUAUUAGUAAUUUUUAUUAAAUAGUUAAAAUUUUUAAUAAAUAAAUGGAUUAUAAUUAUUAUUUAUAUUAAUUUGUUUAAAAUUAAAAAUAAACUAGGAUUAGAUACCCUAUUAUAAAAUUUAUAAAAUUUUUAUAAUAAUUAAUAGUUUAAAUUCUUAAAAUUAAAUAAAAUUGGCUGUAUUUUAAUUUAUUUAGAGGAACUUGUUGUUUAAUUUGAUUUUCCACGUUAAGUAUUACUUUAUUUAUUUAAUUUGUAUAUUGUUGUUAUAAAAAUUUUAUUAAAAUAAAAAAUUUUUAAUUUUUAAAAAAAAAUUAUUUCAAAUCAAAAUAUAGUUUAUAAUAAAGAAUUUAAAUGAGUUAUAUAAAAUUAUUUAUGGAUGUUAAAUUAAAAUAUUAAUAUGAAAUUAGAUUUAAAAGUAAUUAAUUUUAUUUAAUUUAAUGAUUUAAUUUUAAAAUAAGUACAGAUUGCCCGUCGUUUUCAUAUAUGAAAUAAGUCGUAACAAAGUAAAGGUAUUGGAAAAUGUCUUUAGAA